AGUCGAACGGAAGUCGUUAUAAAAAGGAUUGAGGAUUUAUCUGAUUGAGAUUUUAUAACAAUGGCUUUAGUGGCGGACUGGUGAGUAACGCGUGAGCAACCUGCCUACUAGAGGGGAAUAACAGUGAGAAAUCAUUGCUAAUACCGCAUAUGCCAUGAACAUCACAUGAUGAAAGUGGGAAGAGAGUAAUCUGCUAGUAGAUGGGCUCGCGUCUGAUUAGAUAGUUGGUGGGGUAACGGCCUACCAAGUCGACGAUCAGUAGCCGGACUGAGAGGUUGAACGGCCACAUUGGGACUGAGAUACGGCCCAGACUCCUACGGGAGGCAGCAGUCGGGAAUGUUGCGCAAUGGAGGAAACUCUGACGCAGUGACGCCGCGUAUAGGAAGAAGGUUUUCGGAUUGUAAACUAUUGUCGUUAGGGAAGAUACAAGACAGUACCUAAGGAGGAAGCUCCGGCUAACUACGUGCCAGCAGCCGCGGUAAUACGUAGGGAGCAAGCGUUAUCCGGAUUUAUUGGGUGUAAAGGGUGCGUAGACGGGAAAGCAAGUUAGUUGUGAAAUCCCUCGGCUUAACUGAGGAACUGCAACUAAAACUGUUUUUCUUGAGUGUUGGAGAGGAAAGUGGAAUUCCUAGUGUAGCGGUGAAAUGCGUAGAUAUUAGGAGGAACACCGGUGGCGAAGGCGACUUUCUGGACAAUAACUGACGUUGAGGCACGAAAGUGUGGGGAGCAAACAGGAUUAGAUACCCUGGUAGUCCACACCGUAAACGAUGGAUACUAGGUGUAGGGAAUGAUUUCAUUUUCUGUGCCGUCGCAAACGCAAUAAGUAUCCCACCUGGGGAGUACGGCCGCA
rnacentral:rRNA from 1 species